AUGGUUGAUCACAACUGUACAAUCCUCAAUUGGAAUGUCCGGGGUCUCAACAACCCGGCUCGUCGCCAAAUUGUCAGAAAUAUGUGCUCUCAAAAUCGUGCCUCGGUAGUCUGCCUCCAGGAGACUAAACUCUCAUAUGUUGAUCGCCCUCUCAUUCUUGAUCUCAUUGGUGCUGAAUUCGCUGACUCUUUUGUUUUCCUCCCUGCUGAUGGCACCAGGGGCGGCAUCAUUCUCGCCUUCUCCUCUGACCAUUUCAACAUCUCCAGUUCACAUGUCACUACAAACACUAUCUCUGCCUCUGUCUCAAUGAGAGCUUCCACUGCUUCUUAG
rnacentral:rRNA from 1 species